AUUGAACGCUGGCGGCAGGCCUAACACAUGCAAGUCGAGCGGAGCGGCGGACGGGUGAGUAAUGCCUAGGAAUCUGCCUGGUAGUGGGGGAUAACGUCCGGAAACGGGCGCUAAUACCGCAUACUAUCAGAUUAGCCUAGGUCGGAUUAGCUAGUUGGUGGGGUAAAGGCCUACCAAGGCGACGAUCGGUAACGGGUCUGAGAGGAUGAUCAGUCACACGGGAACUGAGACACGGUCCAGACUCCUACGGGAGGAAGAAGUGGGGAAUAUUGGACAAUGGGCGAAAGCCUGAGCCAGACAGGCGGCGGGUGUGAAGAAGGUCUUCGGAUGGUAAAUCACUUUAAGUUGGGAGGCGGUACCAAAAGAAUAAGCACCGGCUAACUUCGUGCCAGCAGCCGCGGUAAUAC
rnacentral:rRNA from 1 species